rnacentral:rRNA from 1 species
GACGAACGCUGGCGGCGUGCUUAACACAUGCAAGUCGAACGGAAAGGCCCUGCUUUUGUGGGGUGCUCGAGUGGCGAACGGGUGAGUAACACGUAAGUAACCUGCCCUUGACUUUGGGAUAACUUCAGGAAACUGGGGCUAAUACCGGGUAGGAGCUCCUGCUGCAUGGUGGGGGUUGGAAAGUUUCGGCGGUUGGGGAUGGACUCGCGGCUUAUCAGCUUGUUGGUGGGGUAGUGGCUUACCAAGGCUUUGACGGGUAGCCGGCCUGAGAGGGUGACCGGCCACAUUGGGACUGAGAUACGGCCCAGACUCCUACGGGAGGCAGCAGUGGGGAAUAUUGCACAAUGGGCGGAAGCCUGAUGCAGCAACGCCGCGUGCGGGAUGACGGCCUUCGGGUUGUAAACCGCUUUCGCCUGUGACGAAGCGUGAGUGACGGUAAUGGGUAAAGAAGCACCGGCUAACUACGUG